GGCAAGAUGGCCGAGCGGUCUAAGGCGCCAGGUUCAGGUCCUGGUCUAGAAAUAGGCGUGGGUUCGAAUCCCACUCUUGUCA
rnacentral:tRNA from 3 species